GGGGAUAUAGCUCAGUUGGGAGAGCACCUGCCUUGCAAGCAGGGGGUCAGCGGUUCGAAUCCGCUUAUCUCCACCA
rnacentral:tRNA from 1 species